rnacentral:snoRNA from 2 species
CCCCUCUCAGGGUCGCAGCUGGGGAGUUUCCAGUACUCUACCAGUCCAAGCUAUGGGAGGGAGAGUCAAGCAGAGGCAUAUCCAUUCCAUUCCUAGCUUGGGCAGUGGCUAGCAAGUGGAAGGCAAUCUGCUAUGAGU